GUGUGUGUGUGUGUCUGCUGUAUAAUUGCUCCCUGCCUCUUCCUGUGAUCCACGCUGAUGUAGGGGAGGGCUCAGCUUCUGACGUUAUACAAAUAGGAAUUCCCUUCGCUGUCUCUCUCGCUCCGCUCUCAUUCACUUUCACCCUGUCUGGCCCCCAGACGAACUCUCUCUCUCUCUCCUAUAUAAACACUCAUAGAGUCUAUACAGGAGUCGGACACUCCCUCUGAGACACAACUGCUAUAAGGUUCCUCUCACGCUCUGAACGGAGGAGAUACAGAGCAGUCAGACCACCCAGUCUACAGGAAGCCCAGUCACGCUUGCAGAAGGAGGGGCCAGCUGCAGUGACCACGGACUACAUGACAAAAAAUGAGAAAAAAAAGAAAGCCCUACAGGUUGGGAAUGAC